AUGCAACAAAAGCAAAACAUUCCCAUCACAUGCACCAGCUGUGGCAUGUUCCGCUUUUUCACACAAAAACUAGACAACUACAUCUGCUCCAAAUGCAAACAGAUGACUCUGAUGAAGCAGAGGAUCCAACAGCUCGAGCACCGUAUUAAGACCCUUAAGGACAUUCAGGCACUCGAGCUCUUCUUGGACACUGCACAACACGCUGCUGUAGAUCAGCAGCCUGCAUCACACCAACACCACCAAGACCAUGAUCAGGAACCUUAUGGGGAGAUCAACUCAAAGGUAGACAACCCUCAGGCUUGGAAGGAGGUCACCCAUAGAAGGAGACGCAGGACCAGGCAGCCUCAGCAGAACUCCUCUGCUCAGCUGCAUUUACACAACAGAUUUGAAAUUCUUACAUCAUUAACAUACAAUCAGGAAACACAGCUUGUGGAGGACCACAGUUUCUUAGAUACCACUCAGUGGACCAUCCUGGAUCAAUGCGCAGGGGAUAGCCCUGACAGGGACAGUGCAUCACCACAGUCACACUUAUGUAAUCAUGCAAAUGCUCCAUCCCCAAUCAUAGACCAGGAGCAACAGGAACAUCCUUGGGAGAGUAAUGGGCUCUCGGAUGUAUCUCAAUGGAUUGUCAUUGAUGAAUGCACUGGGGAUGUUGAGGAGGAGGACAACACUUUACACCUACAUGAUUCACUUCAACAGGAACACUCUUCAGGGGACAUACACACUGUCUUGCACAAAAGGGACCCUGUCAAUCCUCAAAGGAAACAGGUCUUGGUAGUAGGUGACUCCCUCCUUAGAGGAACGGAAGCCAUCAUUUCCAGACCGGAUGGGAUGGCUCGAGAAACAUGCUGCCUCCCGGGGGCAAAAAUACACCAUAUCACUCAGAGGCUCAGCAGGCUCCUAAAGCCCCAUCACCCUCCCCACCUUAUGUUGAUUCAUGUAGGUACCAAUGACACCGCUAGGCAUACUUUCAAGAAGAUCACAAAUGAUUUUCGAGCUCUGGGAACAAAGCUAAAACUGUAUAAUGUACAUGUGAUCUUUUCAUCCCUCCUCCCCGUUGUAGGACACGGCUCUACAAGGGCCGGAAAAAUAGUACAGGGAGGAGGGAUGAAAAGAUCACAUGUACAUUAUACAGUUUUAGCUUUGUUCCCAGAGCUCGAAAAACUUCUUUUUCACAAACAUCACUGGGGAAGCGGCUGGGGAUUGAGAGGGUCUGAUGAACUCCUUGCGGAGGUUUGA
rnacentral:lncRNA from 1 species